GCCUCCAAUAUGUCUGCUUUUCUUAGUAAUAAUAAAAUUUAUCAAUGAAUAUGGUACGGAAUGACAAAUCAUUUUCGCCUUAUAAAAGUUAUGUUGCACGUUUUUCAAAUAUCAGACGAACUGACUUCGGAUAGAUUGAUGUAGCUUUGAACUUGUGACCUUAAGAUAAUUCACUAUCAAUUUAAUUGAGAAUGUACCACUACAACUUAUUCCUUUUGUUUGAACGCUAAAGUGAAGCUGUAAAUAUGGAUAGAUUUUUCAUUGUUUUAUCAAUAUUUAUUUUGUUCAAUAUUUGUUUGUUACUCGCUGUACCAGUGGAACAACAAAGCAAUUCAACACAAAUCAAGACGAUUUCAGCUAUUAACCAAUCGUCAAAUGACACGUUGUGCUUGUACGGCUUCGAGUACGUCAACGGCACGUGUAGAGAGAUAUUUCGAAAAUGAUUGAUAUUUAACAACGGUAGCGGAAUGCUCGAAGCACUUUUGUAUAUACCUAAUUGAACAUGUAUUCCGUUUUAUUUAUUAAUUUAUUUAUUCUAUUUUAUGUUAUGUAAGUUUAAUUACAUAACUUGUGUGUCGUCAGCUUUAAAGUGUAGGUAAUUUAAGCAGUGUAUUAUUUUUGUUAUAUUUUUUGGUAUGUCAAUAUAAAUGUAAAAAUUUAUAAGAAAUAAAUUGUUAAUUGGA